rnacentral:lncRNA from 1 species
UUGGUUUCACAUUUUUACAGAUCUCAGAUUCAAAACAAACAAAAUUUGUUUGAGUCAUCCAGAUCUAACGAUCAAACCGAUGGUUGUUAACGGCCAUUGAAGAGGAUGAAACAUCGAGUAAACAAAGAUUUGUUUACGGAUGGAGUUUGAACAGUGAGAACGGGACGUGGGGAUUUGGUUUCCGUUGAAGCGGUUCUGGUUUGACUUCGCGAUUUUCCGAUCAAAACAGGUUGACUUCGCGAUUUUCUCUUAACCCAACCCAGACACCCAUCGCUGCACCUCCAUACUCGCCACCAUUGCCGGCACGGCCACCGCCACCGGCACGUCUCCAUUUGCAGCCUCCAAAACGAUACAUCAUCUCACCUUUUUUUUCUUCUUCUCCUUAGUCCAGAUCCAUGGUCGCCGGAGGGGAUCGAAACCCUAUAUCUAUAUCACCUUCAAUCGCCGGAAACGACCAUCAUCGGUAAUCCUAAAAACCGCUCGAAAAAUGGUCUAGAUCGAGACAUGCAGACUCGUCGGCUGCCUCGUAUUGGUCGGAAACGCAGCCGCCUCACUCCUUGAGGUCCACCGCCGCUGGUUCGUCGUUUUAAAGUAGUGGUUGCACCGGUGAAAAUGGGGGUAAACUCGAGACCCUGAGAAAAAUCUUAUACCAAUAUAAUAUAUUUUUGUGAUUUUUCUGGCAAGGAAACCCUAAAUCAUCUAAUAUAUAUAUAUGUUGGGUUUGGUGCCUGUUUGGAGGAGAUAUGACCGUUGAAUGUUGUAGAUGACUGCGGUUGUUUGACGCAAGGGAAGAUGACGGUUGCUUGAAGGUUUUUGUGAUGAUUGGCAGUUAAUUUUUCAAACGGUGCGCCGGACGCUGUAGGGUUGUGUAGCAUUUUUUUUUGUAACUGUUGUUAAAUUUAAUUGAAACAGUGCGUUUCAUGUGGGCGAGGUAACUGAACCAAAACGUCAUCCCUUUUCUGACCGGCGUUUGUUUUUAACCGGCACCGGUUGGUUUUUUAAAUGUAUAUAGAUAUAUAUAUAUAAUAAUUAAGCAAAGGGUAUGUAUGUAUGGUUUU